UACAGAGGUCCCAAGCGUUGUUCGGAUUUACUGGGCGUAAAGGGUGCGUAGGUGGUUGGGUAAGUUUGAUGUGAAAUCUCCGGGCUUAACCCGGAAAUGGCAUUGAAUACUAUUCGGCUAGAGGUUUGGAGGGGGGACUGGAAUUCUUGGUGUAGCAGUGAAAUGCGUAGAUAUCAAGAGGAACACCAGUGGCGAAGGCGAGU
rnacentral:rRNA from 1 species